GAUCCUGGCUCAGGACGAACGCUGGCGGCGCGCCUAACACAUGCAAGUCGAACGGAGCUUAAAGAGCUUGCUUUUUAAGCUUAGUGGCGAACGGGUGAGUAACGCGUGAGUAACCUGCCCUGGAGUGGGGGACAACAGUUGGAAACGACUGCUAAUACCGCAUAAGCCCACGGAUUCGCAUGGAUCUGCGGGAAAAGGAUUUAUUCGCUUCAGGAUGGACUCGCGUCCAAUUAGCUAGUUGGUGGGGUAACGG
rnacentral:rRNA from 1 species